UACGGAGGGGGCUAGCGUUGUUCGGAAUUACUGGGCGUAAAGCGCACGUAGGCGGCUUUGUAAGUCGGACGUGAAAUCCCUCGGCUUAACCGAGGAACUGCGUCCGAUACUGAAAGGCUUGAAUCCGGGAGAGGGAUGUGGAAUUCCAGGUGUAGCGGUGAAAUGCGUAGAUAUCUGGAGGAACACCGGUGGCGAAGGCGGCAUCCUGGACCGGCAUUGACGCUGAGGCGCGAAAGCUAGGGGAGCAAACGGG
rnacentral:rRNA from 1 species